GAUGAACGCUAGCUACAGGCUUAACACAUGCAAGUCGAGGGGAAACGAUAUUGGAAGCUUGCUUCCGAUAGGCGUCGACCGGCGCACGGGUGAGUAACGCGUAUCCAACCUGCCCACCACUGGGGAAUAACCUUGCGAAAGUAAGACUAAUGCCCAAUGAUAUCUCUAGCAGACAUCUGAAAGAGAUUAAAGAUUUAUCGGUGAUGGAUGGGGAUGCGUCUAAUUAGCUGGUUGGCGGGGUAACGGCCCACCAAGGCGACGCUCAGUAGGGGUUCUGAGAGGAAGGUCCCCCACAUUGGAACUGAGACACGGUCCAAACUCCUACGGGAGGCAGCAGUGAGGAAUAUUGGUCAAUGGGCGAGAGCCUGAACCAGCCAAGUAGCGUGCAGGAUGACGGCCCUAUGGGUUGUAAACUGCUUUUAUAAGGGAAUAAAGUGAGCCUCGUGAGGCUUUUUGCAUGUACCUUAUGAAUAAGGACCGGCUAAUUCCGUGCCAGCCGCCGCGGUAA
rnacentral:rRNA from 1 species